AUUGAACGCUGGCGGCAGGCCUAACACAUGCAAGUCGAGCGGAGCGGCGGACGGGUGAGUCAUGCCUAGGAAUCUGCCUGGUAGUGGGGGAUAACGUCCGGAAACGGGCGCUAAUACCGCAUACUAUCAGAUGAACCUAGGUCGGAUUAGCUAGUUGGUGGGGCAAAGGCCUACAAAGGCGACGAUCCGUAACUGGUCUGAGGGGAUGAUCAGUAAAACUGGAACUGAGACACGGUCCAGACUCCUACGGGGGGCAGCAGUGGGGAAUGUUGGCCAAUGGGCGAGAGCCUGAUCCAGCAAUGCCGCGUGUGUGAAGAAGGUCUUCGGAUUGUAAAGCACUUUAAGUUGGGAGACGUUACCAACAGAAUAAGCACCGGCUAACUUCGUGCCAGCAGCCGCGGUAAUAC
rnacentral:rRNA from 1 species